rnacentral:lncRNA from 1 species
GGCUACCAGUGGGUUUAGUAUUUGAUAUCAAGCACAGUUCUGAUGAAUUCUGAUGAGUGACUUGGGAAGUGCCAGAUGAUGGAAGAUGAAUAUCAGAUAGCCUGAAUAAAAGAACACAAGAACUUCAUUAUGCUGUUUUCUGAAAUACAGGAAGCAAGAGGUUAAAGGAGGAUGGAGAAACAAAUAGGAAGAAUGCUCAGCGUUUACUACUUAUGAAGCAGUAUCAUGUUGUGGUAAUUCAGGCAUUUGUCUAAUAA